rnacentral:rRNA from 1 species
GACGAACGCUGGCGGCGUGCUUAACACAUGCAAGUCGAACGGAAAGGCCCUGCUUUUGUGGGGUGCUCGAGUGGCGAACGGGUGAGUAAUACGUGAGUAACCUGCCCUUGACUUUGGGAUAACUUCAGGAAACUGGGGCUAAUACCGGAUAGGAGCUCCUGCUGCAUGGUGGGGUUGGAAGUUCGGCGGUUGGGGAUGGACUCGCGGCUUAUCAGCUUGUUGGUGGGGUAGUGGCUUACCAAGGCUU